UAGAAAGUGGUGUAGUGGAAGCACUAAGAGUUUUGAUCUCUUGAGCAUGGGUUCAACCCCCUUUUUUCUAA
rnacentral:tRNA from 1 species